rnacentral:sRNA from 1 species
AUUACCUGAAUUUGCUUGCGUGACUGGAUUGCCCUGUGGUGAGUUUUCUGAGGAUUAUGAUCCAGAUGAUGAUGCAGUUUAUGUUGUUGGCAUGAAGAGUUACUGGGACAAGUUAAUUGGUCCAGACAAGACUGUUACCUUAGGGGAUGUUUCUGACAUGCUAACCAACAAACGCAAGACCUUGUCAUCUGACCACAGACUUAAGCUCGUGUUUCUACUUAUUGUAGAUGGUGUACUCAUAGCAUCGAACCAAAUCGGUAGGCCUACAUUUAAAUAUGUAGAGAUGUUGGCAGAUAUGGAUAAAUUCCUUUCAUUUCCUUGGGGUAGAGAGUCUUUUUUGAAGACUGUAGUAGGAAUGAGACCCGACAAACGAAAUCUCGGUAAGUCCACUGGUAAAAGACAGCUGACAACUAACCCUAUCAAGAGUUUGGUGAGUCAACUUCAGCAGAAAACAUUCCGUUUGAAAGGUUUCCCC